rnacentral:misc_RNA from 1 species
AAGGCAUGUUGGAUCCCUGCUCGGGCAGCGACGUCAUCCCGUGCGCACCUCUUCAGUGGCUGGCUCGAGUGCUCGUGCUCKCGGCCAAUGUCGAUUUUUCCUGUGCUGUAUUCCCAUCGAGAUGGCAAUUCGUCGGCUAAAUUAUUCAGUUUCCGCCCUGUGCUGCUACUCCUCAUGGAAAUGCGGCUCUGGGUGGUCCACAAGGCACACGUCGUGUUUCGCGAUCCUUGCAUGAGUUCUUGGGUUGGCGAUCGACGACGAUGCGCUUGAUCUCUCGGAUGCGGAAAAUUGGGCGGCGAUGAGGAAUCGACCUCUGAUGCCCUUUGGUGAAGCGUUCUACGCUUCUUGCGGACGACGGCAAUUCGGUCUCGAUCUGGAGUCGUCUUGGCUCACAGUCGUGGUCGAAUGGCGUCAAUGAGGAA